rnacentral:rRNA from 1 species
UCUAAGGAGACUGCCUCGGACAACCGGGGAGGAAGGUGGGGAUGACGUCAAGUCCGCAUGCUCCUUACGUCUAGGGCUACACACGUCCUACAAUGGGGUUGACAAUGGGAUGCAAUACCGCAAGGUGGAGCGAAUCCCCCAAACGACCCCUCAGUUCGGAUUGCAGUCUGCAACUCGACUGCAUGAAGUCGGAAUCGCUAGUAAUGGCAGGUCAGCAUACUGCCGUGAAUACGUUCCCGGGUCUU